UACAGAGGUCUCAAGCGUUUGUUCGGAUUCAUUGGGCGUAAAGGGUGCGUAGGCGGCGCGGUAAGUCGGGGUGUGAAAUCUCGGAGCUUAACUCCGAAAACUGCAUUCGAUACUGCCGUGCUUUGAGGACUGGAGAGGAGACUGGAAAUUUUACGGUGUAGCGGUGAAAAUGCGUAGAUAUCGUAAGGAAAGACCAGUGG
rnacentral:rRNA from 1 species